rfam:Homo sapiens chromosome 2, GRCh38 reference primary assembly.
GCUGGGUGUGGGGUGCACACCUGUAAUCCCAGCUACUCAGGAGGCUGAGGCAGAAGAAUCGCUUGAACCCAGGAGGUGGAGGUUGCAGUGAGCUGAAAUCGUACCACUGCACUCCAGCCUGGGUGACAGAGUGAGACUCUGUCUCAA